CAACAGCAGCGUGACUUGGGCCAGCUAAGAAAAGCCCAAUUACCUGUUAGAGAGAAACUGAAAAACGCUGUUUGAGGAGCUACAAGAGAGGAGGAAAGUGAAGAGUGUAUUAUCGAAGGACAUCAUGAGCCGCUACGACAGCCGCUCCGGCGACCCCACUUCUUACCGUGACAGGAGGAGUGAUUCUGGCCUAGGUGCACCUACAGGGUUUGGUGGUUCUGUACAGCAUUCUUCGUCAAACAGGAGGGAUCAUGAUGAUGGUGGAUCACCAAAGAGGAACCUCAGUUUGGAUGGUUUACCUCAUUUUGAGAAAAACUUCUACAUCGAGUCACCCGCAGUAAGGGCAAUGACUGAUGCUGAGGUUAAUGAGUACCGACAGCAGAGGGAAAUAACUGUUGAAGGUCGAGAUAUCCCCAAGCCUGUCAAGACCUUUCAAGAUGCUGGUUUUCCAGAAUAUGUGAUGCAAGAAAUUACAAAAGCUGGCUUUACUGAGCCUACACCCAUUCAAUCUCAAGGUUGGCCCAUGGCUUUGAAGGGGCGUGAUCUCAUAGGAAUAGCUGAAACAGGUUCAGGGAAGACACUUGCUUACUUAUUACCUGCCAUUGUGCAUGUUAAUGCUCAGCCGAUCCUAGAUCCUGGAGAUGGACCUAUUGUGUUAGUAUUGGCUCCAACUCGUGAACUUGCUGUUCAAAUACAACAAGAGGCUACUAAAUUUGGUGCAUCAUCUAGGAUUAAGAGUACAUGCAUAUAUGGUGGGGUUCCAAAGGGACCUCAAGUGCGUGAUCUCCAGAAAGGUGUUGAAAUUGUAAUUGCCACUCCCGGAAGGUUAAUUGAUAUGCUCGAAUCAAAUCAUACCAACUUACAGAGGGUCACAUAUCUUGUAUUGGAUGAAGCUGAUAGGAUGUUGGAUAUGGGGUUUGAUCCUCAGCUGCGGAAGAUUGUUUCUCAGAUCCGACCGGACCGUCAAACUUUGUAUUGGAGUGCUACUUGGCCAAAGGAGGUCGAACAAUUGGCACGGAAGUUCCUUUACAACCCAUAUAAAGUAAUUAUAGGGUCUGAAGAUUUGAAAGCUAACCAUGCAAUACGUCAAUAUGUUGACAUUGUUUCGGAAAAGCAGAAAUAUGAUAAAUUGGUGAAGUUGCUAGAGGACAUCAUGGAUGGCAGCCGAAUACUGAUAUUCAUGGAUACCAAAAAAGGAUGUGAUCAGAUCACUAGGCAACUCCGCAUGGAUGGCUGGCCUGCACUUUCAAUUCAUGGAGACAAAAGUCAAGCAGAAAGAGAUUGGGUGCUCUCAGAAUUUAAAUCAGGAAAAAGUCCUAUUAUGACUGCAACAGAUGUUGCAGCCCGUGGUUUAGAUGUGAAGGAUGUGAAGUAUGUAAUAAAUUAUGACUUUCCGGGGUCACUUGAAGACUAUGUCCAUCGCAUUGGACGGACUGGGAGAGCUGGUGCAAAAGGAACUGCCUACACAUUCUUCACAGCUGCUAAUGCUAGAUUUGCAAAGGAACUAAUCGCCAUACUUGAGGAAGCUGGACAGAAAGUUAGUCCUGAAUUAGCAGCAAUGGGCCGUGGUGCACCACCUCCGCCUUCAGGUCCCCGAGGUUUCCAAGACCGUGGGAGGGGUUAUGGCAGUUCUCGUCCAUGGAGCUGAUUCAUGAAGGUGCAGACAGACCUUCUUGAUCGAUGAAUCGUGCCAUUUGUGUUGCUACUGACGUUAUAUUGUCUUGAUCAUUAAUGUAAACUUUAAACGAGGAUAAUAUAUAUGGUCUGACUUAAGCACAAAACAAGAACAUGAUCCAAAGUUCUACUCUAUUUGGUGGGGGAGUAUCACAGUUUUAAGCAUCACAUUAAGUAUUUAUUCACUGUCAUGUCUUAAAAUAUCUCUUGCAAAAUCAAAACAAUGUCUGGAACGAUUUUUAUCACUGAUAUGAUGGUACUAUUGUUAUUGUUAUUA